rnacentral:SRP_RNA from 1 species
GCUGGGAGCAGUGGCCCAUACCUGUAGUCCCAGCUACUCAGGAGGCUGAGGCUGGAGGAUCGCUUGAGCCCAGGAGUUCUGGGCUGUAGUGCGCUAUGCCAAUCGGGUGUCUGCACUAAGUUCGGCAUCAAUAUGGCGACCUCCCAGGAGCGGGGAUCACCAGGUUGCCUGAGGAGGGGUGAACCGGCCCAGGUCAGAAACAGAGCAGGUAAAAACUCCCGUGCUGAUCAGUAGUGGGAUCGCACCUGUGGAUAGCCACUGCACUCUAGCCUGGGCAACAUAGCAAGAUCCUGUCUCU